rnacentral:rRNA from 1 species
AACGAACGCUGGCGGCAUGCCUAACACAUGCAAGUCGAACGAGACCUUCGGGUCUAGUGGCGCACGGGUGCGUAACGCGUGGGGACCUGCCCUUAGGUUCGGAAUAACUCCCCGAAAGGGGUGCUAAUACCGGAUAAUGUCUUCGGACCAAAGAUUUAUCGCCUUUGGAUGGGCCCGCGUUGGAUUAGCUAGUUGGUAGGGUAAAAGCCUACCAAGGCGACGAUCCAUAGCUGGUCUGAGAGGAUGAUCAGCCACACUGGGACUGAGACACGGCCCAGACUCCUACGGGAGGCAGCAGUGGGGAAUAUUGGACAAUGGGCGAAAGCCUGAUCCAGCAAUGCCGCGUGAGUGAUGAAGGCCUUAGGGUUGUAAAGCUCUUUUACCCGGGAUGAUAAUGACAGUACCGGGAGAAUAAGCACCGGCUAACUCCGUG